GAUAAACCGGGAGGCGGGAAGGGAACUUAUUCUGCCACCGGUCAUUCCGGUUUCCGGUGAAUGCCUCAGUACUCCGAAUCCGAAAACUCCAAUAACCCGGAAUUCGCCGGGUUGAAGUCCUCCGAUCACUCCCUCCACCAACUCUGAACAUCGCCGCCGGAGGCACAGCUCUAAAUCACGUGGAACUGUAUAGCGAAACUCCGAGCUCAGCGAAGAUGUCGCAGCUGGGAAAUCCGGCCAAUAGCAGCAGCAGCAGCAGUAGCAUUCCAGUGAGUGAAGCGUACUGGUCUCUUUUUGACAAAGCUGACCGGAAGUUUUCCAAGAUCAGGGACCUGCCUUAUUACGAACGCAAUAGGUACGAUGCGUAUUUUCACAAGGCGUUCAAAUUGUACUCACAGUUAUGGAAACUUCAGCAAGAGAAUCGUCAGAAGUUGGUUGAGGCAGGGCUAAAGAGAUGGGAGAUUGGGGAGAUUGCUUCACGAAUUGCUCAGCUUUACUUUGGGCAAUACAUGAGGACCAGUGAAGCGAACUAUUUAUCCGAGUCUUACGUAUUUUAUGAAGCAAUAUUUACUCGAGAGUACUUCAAGGAGGGAUUGCUUCAAGAUGCCAGUCUUGCGAACAGGCAGCUGAGAUUUCUGUCCAGAUUUCUGAUGGUGUGCCUGCUUUUGAAUCGAAGAGAAAUGGUCCAUCAGUUAGCCAAUCAGCUUAAAAUGUUACUUGAUGAUUGUAAGAGAACAUUCCAGGAGAAGGAUGUUAGAGAAUCGAAGCUGGUAGUUCAGGAAAUAAUGAAAUUUCUGAAAGCAGAUACAGCCUUUAUGAAUAUCAGGCCUUUCAGAUAUAGUGUUGUGUUAGAGUCUCAUCCAGAUUCUCUAACACCUGUUCCUCCAUCACGAACAAAGAGAUACUUGAGGUUACAGGAUGCUAUUCUGAGUAGCUACCACCAUAACGAGGUCAAGUUUUCUGAGCUUACGCUAGACACGUUCAGGAUGAUCCAGUGCCUAGAAUGGGAACCUAGUGGUUCGUUCUAUCGGCCAAAUAAUAGAAGUGGGCAGAAUGGAGGAUCUGGGCCAAGUCGCAGUAACUUCUCACAGCAUAUAGUUGAUCCUACUCUCCCAUCUAAUCCUCGGAAGUCAAUUUUAUACCGUCCUUCAGUGACACAUUUUUUAGCAGUUCUAGCUACAAUUUGUGAGGAGAUGCCAAAUGAUGGGGUUCUCUUGAUAUAUUUGUCAGCUUCAGGCAUUGCAAAGAAUAUUUUAUCUUCCCCAGCUGGCAGUGAGUCUAUCAACGAUGCGGAGGAUAUUGAUAAAACCAAGUCUCCUUGUGGUCAAGUUGGAGGAGGCAUCAAAGGUCCCUCGACUGGUUGCUUAUCAUUUGGUGUUCGUGGCAAAGGAGGAUUAAGCUGCAUAUAUCCAAGCGACAUACUUCCAUUUACAAGAAGGCCAUUUCUUUUAGUUAUAGAUAGUGACGUCAGUGAAGAAUUUGAGACUAUCCAUGGAUCAGAAAAGGGAGAGCCAGCUGCAAUGCUGUUAUCUCCCAGCGCUACGAGUCACACUGUUGCUACCGAUUAUCGUCAUGGAAGCCUUUUCACCUUUUUUCUCACAGCCCCAUUGCAUGCUUUCUGUCUAUUGCUUGGUAUCUCAGGCUCUGAUGUUGAAAUGGAUACAUUUAAUAAAGCCGAGAACGUGCUAUCCUCGUCCUUAAGUGAGUGGGGGCAGUUUUUGGUGACAUCAGAGAACCUCGAUCAAGUUUGGGCUCAAAUUUUGAACGAUCCGUUCAUAAGGCGACUUCUCUUGAGAUUUAUAUUCUGUCGUACCGUGCUAGCACUUUACGCGCCAACCAUCGGUAAGAACGGAUAUGUUCCAAGGUGCGUGCCAUCUCUGCCCUCCGUCGUCGAUCCAACAACCGCAACAUUGCAAUCUGCAGUCAUGCAGAUAGCAAAUAUCUUCGGUGUAAGCCACAGUUUCGUCUUCUCAGAAUACCUGGUAUUUCCAGAAAACAAGCAAUGAAAUGUGUACUCAAAAUUAGUGGGAAAAAAAUAGGACCCAAAUGAACCAUUUCAAUCAUUGGUGGCGAUGUAGCUAGAAUGUUAAAGAAUCCUUACCAGGGUACGAGACCAAUCAAAUCUGGUGUGAUGAUAUCCCGUCUCUAGUGCUAUCUUCUCAAGUGUAUGGUUCAAAAAUCUCUUUUUUGUACUUUACUCCUAGGUUAUGUUUUUUUUUCUAUCUCUCGAUUUUCACAAGAAUCCAUAAUAUUACUAAUAUGGACACGAGUGAGAUGGGUACUUAUGAGAUUUUACAAGACAUAAUUGGUCUUUUAAAACCCGUUUUUUACUUUGAUGUUGACUUUGACUUUUUUGGGUUCGUUGUUACACAACUAUAAAAUGUAUUUACUAUUCUUUUGAAUGGUA